CUAAGAAUCUUCCGCAAUGGGGGAAACCCUGACGGAGCGACGCCGCGUGGACGAGGAAGGCCGAAAGGUUGUAAAGUCCUUUUCUCUGUGAAGAAUAAGGCAGGGAGGAAAUGCCCUGGUGAUGACGUUAACAGAGGAAUAAGCCCCGGCCAAUUACGUGCCAGCAGCCGCGGUAAUACGUAAGGGGCGAGCGUUGUUCGGAAUUAUUGGGCGUAAAGGGCGCGCAGGCGGCUUGGCAAGUCCGGUGUUUAAGACUACGGCUUAACCGUGGGGAAGCGCUGGAAACUGCUGGGCUUGAGUUCAGGAGGGGGUACUGGAAUUCCAGGUGUAGGGGUGAAAGCUGUAGAGAUCUGGAAGAACACCGGUGGCGAAGGCGAGUACCUGGCCAUGGACUGACGCUGAGGCGCGAAAGCGUGGGGAGCAAACA
rnacentral:rRNA from 1 species